AGCAGAGUAUCAGGAAAGGAGUUACUUCUCAGAGAAAGGUGCCAAGGAAGACCUCCCUGGCCAUGAAGGUGGAAAUUCCAGGCAAGGAAGCAAGGGUCAAAGGAAAACCAAUACACAGGAUGUUUGCAGAGGACUAGGAAGAGCUUGAUCUCCCCCUAUUCAGAGUUAAAGAACGUGUUACAGUCAAAUCCUCGGAUACCACUGGAAAAUGAAGCUUUAAGAAUGUAUAACGUAUCCAUCCUAUCUCACGUCCACGUUAUGCUGGUUAACCAACUUCCCACCCUUUAUCCCAGCUCUCCUCAGUCUUAGCAUGGUCACUCCUCUUCUCUCAGCUUCUAUGAAAUUUACUUUUUAAAACUACAUUUAAAAGAGGAUUUUUAUGUCUUUAUCAUAAAAGAAUGAUGAAAAUUCAAGGUGAUGAAUAUGCUAAUUACAUUACUAGACUCAUGAAACAAUUACGCAUUUAACAAAACAUCUUACCAUACCCCCAUUAAUACAUACAAAACUAUUUUGCCUCUUCCUAACAAAAUUUCAAAGGACAAAAAAAGAAAAGAAGAUUUGAACUCAGCUGCUUGUACAUUCAUUAACUCUGUCUUGACGAGAAAAGGCAAAGUUGUGCACAAUCUAUGUGAUGAAAGGCUAUUAUCACCAUCCAAACUUGUUAGGUUUUACAUGGGGCAGAGUUUUCCAGAGAAUAUAUAGGUGGACUAUUGAGGAAUAAAGAGUUUAUUAGACAAAUUACUAAUGCUAUAGACAGAGAAGUAAUAACAAGGUGAGGGCUUUGAGGAGAGUUCAGGCUCCAUCACCAGAAACAAACAGCAUGAUGGGUGUAGAAGUGGAGGUCUGUUCUUACAGUUUUCUGAAGACGGGAGAGGUUUCAUGGCAAGAGUUUGAAGCCAGGCUCUCUGGUUUCCAGGCAGAAAGAGGAUAGGGGCAGAAAUGUGGCCAUUCUUUUUAUGUGACUGAGCUUCCCUGAUAAGAACUCCUGGCAAGGGUUGCCUGUUACUCAGUGUAUAGGAUAUCUGUGGGAGAAAGGCUGAGCUGAGGCUGGAGUCUAACAUCACAUUUCUCACCCAGUGGUGAGAGGUUCAUGAGUGAUAUUAAAGGAACUCUGAGAAUAAGAGUGAAUUCUAAUGGCUGGUUUUGAGAAAGAACAUUCCAAAUACCUUGGAGAUAACCUGUUUGAGUUAGCAUUCGUGGUCUUCUUCCGCAAAUUUUCUAUCACCAAAUAUAUAUCUAUUGUUUCUACACGUGGGUUGCCACACUAGAUAGCAGACAUGGACAGGCAUGAACCUCUGGGUCGUGUGCCUUUCUUCAUAUAGGAAUACGAACCCAUCCUCUAACUGCUAAUACGGUGUGUCUCUAGUUAGGUGGCUUCCAGGGUUAGUCACCUGAGACUAUGGUAGAAAGGUAAAAGCAGUCAGUUCUGUGGUAUGCAUGCACACGGACACACAGACAGAUGGACACAUGGACACACACACACACAC